rnacentral:rRNA from 1 species
UUUAAAAUUUAUUUAUUAAUUAAGUUUUAUUUAUUAAUUUUUAAUAAAAUUAAUUUUAUUUUUUUAGUUUAAGUAUUUUAUAAAGAAAUAAUAAUUUUUAUAAUAGUGAAUUAGUAUUGUAAAAGAAUGUUGAAAUAAUUUGAAAAAUUUUUAUUUUAAAAGAAAAUUUUAUUUAUUGUACCUUGUGUAUCAGGGUUUAUUAAUUAAAGAAUAUUUAUUAAUAUUUUUCUCGAAUUUAAAAGAGUUAAUAUUUUAUUUUAGUUAUUGUAGCAUAAUUAUUAAUAAUAAAAUAUUAGAAAUGAAACGUUAAUCGUUUUUAAAUAUAUCUAGUUUUUUAAGAAAUAAAUUUAAUUUAUAUAUUAAAUUAAAAAUUUUUAAUUAGAUUAAUGAUUUUAUAUUUUAAUAUAAAUAUUUUAAGGGAUAAGCUUUAAAAUAAAUUUUUAUAAUUAUAUAUUUUUAUAAUAAUAUGUAAGCUUAAAAUUAGCUAUCAUUAAUAAAUAUGUUAUAAUUUAUUUUAUUAAUAGAUAUUAUUUAUUUUUAAUUUAAAUUUUUUAUUAAAAUAUUUAUUUAAAUUAUUUAAGUAAAUAAAUAAUGAUAAAAUUAGUAAAAUUUUUUAUAUAAAUAAUAAUUUUUGUAAGGUUUAUAUAAUUAAUUCGGCAAAUUGAUGCUCGCCUGUUUAUCAAAAACAUGUCUUUUUGAAAUUAAUUUAAAGUCUAAUCUGCCCACUGAUUUUUUUAAAGGGCCGCGGUAUUUUGACCGUGCAAAGGUAGCAUAAUCAUUAGUCUUUUAAUUGAAGGCUUGUAUGAAUGAUUGAACGAGGUAUCAGCUGUCUCAUAUAAAAUUUUUAUUGAAUUUUAUUUUUUAGUUAAAAAGCUAAAAUAAUUUUAAAGGACGAGAAGACCCUAUAGAGUUUUAUAAUUAAUAUUUUUUUUUUAUAAAGAAUAAUUUAAAAUAAAUAUAAAAAAUUAUUUUGUUGGGGUGACAAUAAAAUUUAAGAAACUUUUAUUAUAAAAUUAACAUUAAUUUAUGAAUAAUUGAUCCAGUAUAUUUAUUGAUUAAAAAAUUAAAUUACCUUAGGGAUAACAGCGUAAUAUUUUUUGAGAGUUCUUAUCGAUAAAAAAGAUUGCGACCUCGAUGUUGGAUUAAGAGUAAUUUUAGAUGCAGAAGUUUAAAGUUUUAGGUCUGUUCGACCUUUAAAUUCUUACAUGAUCUGAGUUCAAACCGGCGUGAGCCAGGUUGGUUUCUAUCCUUAAAUAAAUUAAAUAUUUUAGUACGAAAGGACCAAAUAUUUAAAAUAUAAAUUUUAAUAAAUUGAUUUUUAUUAAUAUAAAUU